UUUCCCAGAACUAACUCAAAAAUAUGAGGCCGUAAAACACCCAAUAAAUUGGCAAAAUCUGUAUUUCAUGUAUGUGUCUGACUAGAUCCUAGAUACUUGCUAUUGUUUUGCACAUCCGAUCAUUUGAAAGUUGUUAUUUGUAAUGUGUUUACUUAUUAAUCUUUUCUCUAUGACACAGAUCUCACUUUUCUGAACACUGUGAACACAAAAAAUCUGAUUUGGGAUUUGUAUAGGUAUUGUUACUAUGUAUAGGUAUUGUUGUUUUUUAUUGGCUGUUGUAUUGUUGUAUUCUAGUUGCCAACUGUGGUGUGCUAGUUUGAAAGUUGAUUGUACUCUUCAAGGGUUCUGAUUUUCUGCAUGUUUACACUAGGACUCGGAACUGUACUGUCCUCUCAGGUGCAGUGAAGACUGCAGACCCACUGAGAAGCUUUCCAAGGAAGCGUAUAUCUGCUCAGAAAGUUUCCAAAUCCAAGUUGCCAAGUUGGCAAAAAUGCUGGCAGUCAAUGUGCUGUAUCUGAAAAAAAUCUAUCUUGUUAAACUGAAUCGAAAAUAGGAUUAUACUUUGUGAAAGUUUCUCUCUCAGUUUAUUUUGCGAACACCUUGCACCUCUUCUUCUUUUAGCUGUCCCCUGUCUCUCUUCCAGCUGAUUCAGCCAUUCUCUGACAUCUUCAGUUUGAAUGCAUUGUCAAAAAAGAAAAUCUAGAAAAAACGUUUAGCACUGUUACAAAAUACUAUACAUGUGGAAACAAAAAUAAACAAAAAUAAAAUGUUUUUAUUCAGCCAA